GGUAAGAUUGAUGACUGGGGUUAAGUCGUAACAAGGUAGCUGUAGGUGAACCUGCAGAAGGAUCA
rnacentral:rRNA from 1 species